GGGGAGGUUCCCGAGCGGUCAAAGGGGGCAGACUGUAAAUCUGUUGCUUAGGCUUCGAAGGUUCGAAUCCUUCUCUCCCCA
rnacentral:tRNA from 1 species